rnacentral:rRNA from 1 species
CCCUUAGAUGUUCUGGGCUGCACGCGCGCUACACUGAAGCUAUCAACACGUUUUCCCUCCCUGAGAAGGGCGGGUAACCUUUUGAAUCAGCUUCGUGGUAGGGAUCGGGGCUUGCAAUUGUUCCCCGUGAACCAGGAAUUACUAGUAGACGCGAGUCAUAAGCUCGCAUCGAUUAAGUCCCUGCCCUUUGUACACACCGCCCGUCGCUACUACCGAUUGAACGUUUUAGUGAGGCAUUUGGACCGACGCAUCUCAGUUUAACCGCUGGUUUGUGUUGGAAAGACUUCCAAACUUGAGCGUUUAGAGGAAGUAAAAGUCGUAACA